UGACCAUAUCAUGUUGAAACACCAGUUCUCAUAUGAUCACUGAAGUUAAGCAAUAUCAAGCCUGAUCAGUAUCUAAAUGGGUGAGCAUUUCAGUAUACCAGGUGCUGUAGGC